rnacentral:lncRNA from 1 species
UGACAGAGGAUGUACAAUAUAUUAAAAUAUAAAGUAAAUCUUUGAUACAGAAUAAAGGCCCUAAAUGUUAUAGUGAACAGGAUUAUGUCAUAUAUGAGGAGGAUGGAUGACUGAAUAGAAGUAGACAUCAACAGCUUACAUAAACUAUAUUAGAGACAUUGAGGAAAGUCGAAUUUUGUAAUAAGUCCCCCUUUUAUAUGUCCAUGACCAAGACUAGAGUUUAGUAUCGACUUCGAAGUAAUUCCAGCCAAUGUUUUUACUGUCUAUAUGUGGAGUAGGAUUUGUCUUUAUUUUCUU